GAUGAAGAACGCAGCGAAAUGCGAUAAGUAGUGUGAAUUGCAGAAUUCAGUGAAUCAUCGAAUCUUUGAACGCACAUUGCGCCCCAUGGUAUUCCGUGGGGCAUGCCUGUUCGAGCGUCAUUUACCCCCUCAAGUUCCGCUUGGUGUUGGGCGUCUGUCCCGCUUCGCGCGCGGACUCGCCCCAAAGGUAUUGGCAGCGGUCGUGCCAGCUUCUCGCGCAGCACAUUGCGCUUCUCGAGGCACCGGUGGGCCCGCGUCCAUCAAGCUCACCCCCCCAGUUUGACCUCGGAUCAGGUAGGGAUACCCGCUGAACUUAAGCAUAUCAAUAAGCGGAGGA
rnacentral:misc_RNA from 1 species